ACACAUGUGCUAUGGAAACAGAGAGUUCUGGAAUACAGUGUUCCAGAGUUCUGAGUUCCAUCACUAGUAUAUAAGUCAGUGUCCACACUGUGACUACAGAGAGAUUGUCUGCACUGAACUACUGAACAGUUUGCCACAAAACCUCCCACUCCAACCGAGGAAAUCUCACGACAGAAAACUCAGAAGAAGAGAAAAGAAAGAGAAACAAAACUAAUAUACCGAACUCAGCUGAAAGAUGUCUGAACAAAGACAGAUUUCCAGUUACAUGGAAAAGGAGAAGAACAUGGACAAAAGGCCUAGGUCUCCUUCUUUUUCCAUGGAUUCUUUGACCCCUGAGAUCAACAACAUCCCCAUCUCAGGGUUCAUCGAUCACAUACCGAUGGAUGACGAUGAGCUGAUGCAGUGUAAUGACCUCUUAGAUAAAGAAGAGGUCACCUGCUUCAACAUCCAUGAAAACAUCAGCCUGGAAAGCAGAUCAUUGCUCUCCGGCUCCUGGUCUUGCAGCACCGAUUCAGUUCUCUCAGAGGUCAUCACCUCAUUUCAUCAGGAUGUCAAUGAGGUGAUUAAAGCAGUAUGCCAAAGCUUUUUUGAUCCUGAAAACAUGGAGACAGAGGCAGUUGUUUCUGAAGAAAAAGAGGAAGUCCAGACCACAGAGAACAUAUCAACCUCCAGACUGACCAUCGGGUCGGAUAAGAGCCUGUCUUCUUCUUCCUCCAACGAAACAGUCAUUGCUGAGGCAGCAAAAACGCUCAUCUCUUUGGUGAUUGACAAAGCUGUAAAGGCACUGGAGGCCACUCAGGCUGCAAAAACACCCAAGGACAUUAGUUCUUUAAAGACACUGCAGUCUACUGAGGGUGAAAAGAUGCUGGAGGACACUGAUUCUCUAAAGACACUGCAAUCUACUGACUGUGAAAAGGGGAAGAGGUGUUCAAAUAGAGAUCAGAGAAAAGUUCAUCCAGCUCCACUUGCAUAUUUGGAUGAGCCCGUCAGGUCACCCAGCACCGACUGGACAAUUUUUUGCACUGCACAGAGCAAACAGGGCCUUUGUGAUUCCCAAGAGACAACCACCAUUACCUCCUCCAGUGGUGGUGAAAGUACAGACCUGAUGCCAUUUCAGCGAGAGUUGGUGGACUGCAUGGCGGACGAAGACCCAACUGGUGUUGAGAAAACCAAAGCAAAGAAAAGCAAUCGCUUCUUUGACUUCUUCCGCAACGUCUUUUCCAAGAAAAACAAUAAUAAGAAGAAGAAGAAGGUGGCUGUGGAAGAAAAUCACUCCAAGUGGCCUUCUUUUUGGAUGCACGUGAUGCUUUUAUAAGGACCAGGAUCAGGACCAGCUUUAGCCACUGUCCUGAUAAUAACUUAUCCCUACUGUUGUAUUGAUGUAUAUAAAUACAUCAAUGAUGUAUAUUGUGCUGUGUUUUAACUAUGACUGUUCCUCAAAAUUAAGACUUCAAUAUCAGUGAUUCUAGUUGUUUGAGGUGCUGGAGGACACUGAUUUUUUAAAGACACUACAGUCCACUGACUGUGAAAAGGUGCUGGAGGACAAUUCUCUAAAGACACUGCAGUCCAUUGACUGUGAAAAAGUGCUGGAGGACGCCAAAUUUUUAAAGACACUGCAGUUCACUGACUGUGAAAAGGUGCUAGAGGACAAAUUCUCUAAAGACACUGCAGUCCACUGACUGUGAAAAGGUGCUAGAGGACAAUUCUCUAAAGACACUGCAGUCCAC